rnacentral:rRNA from 1 species
GUGCCAGCCGCCGCGGUAAUACCGGCAGUCCGAGUGAUGGCCGAUCUUAUUGGGCCUAAAGCGUCCGUAGCUGGCUGAACAAGUCCGUUGGGAAAUCUGUCCGCUUAACGGGCAGGCGUCCAGCGGAAACUGUUCAGCUUGGGACCGGAAGACCUGAGGGGUACGUCUGGGGUAGGAGUGAAAUCCUGUAAUCCUGGACGGACCGCCGGUGGCGAAAGCGCCUCAGGAGAACGGAUCCGACAGUGAGGGACGAAAGCUAGGGUCUCGAACCGGAUUAGAUACCCGGGUAGUCC